NNNGCCGAGGAUGAGCCGAUACCGCCCCAGGCUGAUCCCCCUGACUGAGUGGUUCCCCCUGAGGCAGU
ensembl:snoRNA SNORD31 Small nucleolar RNA SNORD31